rnacentral:lncRNA from 1 species
GUUACAUCUUCAGCACCUACUAUAACUAUUUCAUGUGUUCAACCUUCUGCUGAGCUAACCUAUCAAGACUACCUAUUAUAUAGGUCCCAGCAUCCUGGACCCACCAG